UGGAGAGUUUGAUCCUGGCUCAGGACGAACGCUGGCGGCGUGCUUAACACAUGCAAGUCGAACGCUGAAGCCUGGUGCUUGCACCGGGUGGAUGAGUGGCGAACGGGUGAGUAAUACGUGAGUGACCUGCCUUUGACUCUGGGAUAAGCCUGGGAAACUGGGUCUAAUACCGGAUGCGACUACUGCCCGCAUGGGCUGGUGGUGGAAAGGGUUAUGUACUGGUCUUAGAUGGGCUCACGGCCUAUCAGCUGGUUGGUGGGGUAAUGGCCUACCAAGGCGACGACGGGUAGCCGGCCUGAGAGGGUGACCGGCCACACUGGGACUGAGACACGGCCCAGACUCCUACGGGAGGCAGCAGUGGGGAAUAUUGCACAAUGGGCGCAAGCCUGAUGCAGCGACGCCGCGUGAGGGAUGACGGCCUUCGGGUUGUAAACCUCUUUCAGCAGGGAAGAAGCGGAAGUGACGGUACCUGCAGAAGAAGCGCCGGCUAACUACGUGCCAGCAGCCGCGGUA
rnacentral:rRNA from 1 species